GCCUGGGUGGCUCAGUUGGUUAAGCGUCUGACUUCAGCUUGGGUCACGACCUUAUGGUUCGUGGGUUCGCGCCCCGCCUUGGGCU
rnacentral:tRNA from 1 species